rnacentral:rRNA from 1 species
UACGAAGGGGGGCUAGCGUUGCUCGGAAUCACUGGGCGUAAAGCGCACGUAGGCGGCUUCUUAAGUCAGGGGUGAAAUCCUGGAGCUCAACUCCAGAACUGCCUUUGAUACUGAGGAGCUUGAGUCCGGGAGAGGUGAGUGGAACUGCGAGUGUAGAGGUGAAAUUCGUAGAUAUUCGCAAGAACACCAGUGGCGAAGGCGACUCACUGGCCCGGUACUGACGCUGAGGUGCGAAAGCGUGGGGAGCAAACAGG